UUUUUUUUUAUUUUUCUAAAUAUAUUUAAGUGCACUGUUGGUUGAAUCCUCAGAUGUAAAACCCAAAGAUAUAGAGGGGUGCGUGUACUCUAGGAGAGUGGUGACAACCUUGGAUAGAGUGGCUGAUGAAGGUAGACAAAAUGAGUUAAUAUGAAACUUACCAAGGUUGGAACAUGAACAAACAAGAUGAUAGAAUCAGAGACAUGGCACAGUGGUUCUGAUAAAGAAGGAUUUCAUUAUUCUCUAUGUAUGGAAUAAAGUAGAAUGUGAUCCCACUAAAUGAUGUCAAAAAUAGCAUAGGAAGGUUAGUUUGCAAGGGGAAAUAGAACAUGAGUUGGGUACAAGGUGCCCAAAGGAGAGUUGAAGAUAGAGCCCCAGCGCAUGGAGGAGAGGUUCAUAUAGAACACAUACCUUACAGUGUCUGACUUCUAGUUUUUACUAACAGAAUGAAUGUGGUUGAACUUGCUGAGGAGAGAGCAUAUAGAGUCUGAUGAAGAGUGGGCAUAAAACAAGCCUUGAAAAAUGCCAAAUCCGAAGACUACGGCAGAGAGAGAACAAUGGACUGAAAUAUUAUGAAAGGCAUAAGACGCUUUACUGUGAGUGAAGUCAACCCACAGAAUCAUGAGGAAGAAAUGUCAAUCCGCUGGUUUGGCAAGGUGUUUUAUCACAGCAGCUGGGAAGCAAUCAGGGAUGAUUACCAGAAGAGUGAGAGACCCAGCUUCAUGGAUGACCUUAGCCACUUGGACUCAAGAGUUAUAUACUGAAGACAAUCACAAGAACUGGUUGCUUCUCAUAAGCUAUUAGUCCGAUUAUAUUUUGAAAUAAAAUUCUAUUGAAAAGGGG
rnacentral:lncRNA from 1 species